rfam:Schistosoma rodhaini strain Burundi genome assembly, scaffold: SROB_scaffold0010965
AGUUUCCUGAAACCGUGCGGAGAUUUCGUCAGACACCAACCAAUUAGAGUUGGUCAGACUUCCAAGAUGAGUGAAGCU